rnacentral:rRNA from 1 species
GAACGCUAGCGGCAGGCUUAACACAUGCAAGUCGAGGGGCAGCGGGGAGGAAGCUUGCUUUCUCCGCCGGCGACCGGCGCACGGGUGAGUAACACGUAUGCAACCUGCCCCUGUCAGGGGGACAACCCGCCGAAAGGCGGGCUAAACCCGCGUACAUGCCACCGGGGCAUCCCGGAGGCAGGAAAGGCUUCGGCCGGACAGGGAUGGGCAUGCGGCGCAUUAGGCAGUAGGCGGGGUAACGGCCCACCUAACCGACGAUGCGUAGGGGUUCUGAGAGGAAGGUCCCCCACACUGGUACUGAGACACGGACCAGACUCCUACGGGAGGCAGCAGUGAGGAAUAUUGGUCAAUGGUCGGGAGACUGAACCAGCCAAGCCGCGUGAGGGAUGAAGGUACAGAGUAUCGUAAACCUCUUUUGUCAGGGAACAAAGGCGGGGACGUGUCCCCGGAUGAGUGUACCUGAAGAAAAAGCAUCGGCUAACUCCGUGCCAGCAGCCGCGGUAAUACGGAGGAUGCGAGCGUUAUCCGGAUUUAUUGGGUUUAAAGGGUGCGCAGGCGGUCUGUUAAGUCAGCGGUCAAAGCCCGGGGCUCAACCCCGGCCCGCCGUUGAAACUGGCAGUCUCGAGUUGGAGAGAAGUAUGCGGAAUGCGCGGUGUAGCGGUGAAAUGCAUAGAUAUCGCGCAGAACUCCGAUUGCGAAGGCAGCAUGCCGGCUCCACACUGACGCUGAGGCACGAAAGCGUGGGUAUCGAACAGGAUUAGAUACCCUGGUAGUCCACGCAGUAAACGAUGAAUGCUGGCUGUCCGGGGGGGAUUGACCCCUGGGUGGCGAAGCGAAAGCGAUAAGCAUUCCACCUGGGGAGUACGCCGGCAACGGUGAAACUCAAAGGAAUUGACGGGGGCCCGCACAAGCGGAGGAACAUGUGGUUUAAUUCGAUGAUACGCGAGGAACCUUACCCGGGCUCAAACGGGGAGUGACUCAGGCAGAGACGCCUGUUUCCCACGGGACACUCCCCGAGGUGCUGCAUGGUUGUCGUCAGCUCGUGCCGUGAGGUGUCGGCUUAAGUGCCAUAACGAGCGCAACCCCCGCGUGCAGUUGCUAACAGAUAACGCUGAGGACUCUGCACGGACUGCCGGCGCAAGCCGCGAGGAAGGCGGGGAUGACGUCAAAUCAGCACGGCCCUUACGUCCGGGGCGACACACGUGUUACAAUGGGUGGUACAGCGGGAAGCCAGGCGGCGACGCCGAGCGGAACCCGAAAUCCACUCUCAGUUCGGAUCGGAGUCUGCAACCCGACUCCGUGAAGCUGGAUUCGCUAGUAAUCGCGCAUCAGCCAUGGCGCGGUGAAUACGUUCCCGGGCCUUGUACACACCGCCCGUCAAGCCAUGGGAGCCGAGGGCGCUUGAAGU